rnacentral:rRNA from 1 species
GACGAACGCUGGCGGCGUGCCUAAUACAUGCAAGUCGAACGAGAGCGCCCGGUGCUUGCACUGGUCAAUCUAGUGGCGAACGGGUGAGUAACACGUGGGUAACCUGCCCAUCAGAGGGGGAUAACAUCCGGAAACGGAUGCUAAAACCGCAUAGGUCUUCGAACCGCAUGGUUUGAAGAGGAAAAGAGGCGCAAGCUUCUGCUGAUGGAUGGACUCGCGGUGCAUUAGCUAGUUGGUGAGGUAACGGCUCACCAAGGCCGUGAUGCAUAGCCGACCUGAGAGGGUGAUCGGCCACAUUGGGACUGAGACACGGCCCAAACUCCUACGGGAGGCAGCAGUAGGGAAUCUUCCGCAAUGGACGCAAGUCUGACGGAGCAACGCCGCGUGAGUGAAGAAGGUUUUCGGAUCGUAAAACUCUGUUGUUAGAGAAGAACAAGUGCUAGAGUAACUGUUAGCGCCUUGACGGUAUCUAACCAGAAAGCCACGGCUAACUACGUG